rnacentral:rRNA from 1 species
AGCAGCCGCGGUAAUUCCAGCUCCAAUAGCGUAUAUUAAAGUUGUUGCAGUUAAAAAGCUCGUAGUUGAAUUUCGGGGUCAAUAAGUUGGUCAUGCCAAUGGUAUGCACUGGCUUUAUUGAUUCCUACCUCUUGACGAACUGUGAUGCCAUUAAUUUGGUGUUGCAAGGAAUCAGGACUGUUACCUUGAAAAAAUUAGAGUGUUUAAAGCAAGCUUACGCUUGAAUACAUUAGCAUGGAAUAAUGAAAUAGGACGUUUGAUCCUAUUUUGUUGGUUUCUAGGAUCGACGUAAUGAUUAAUAGGGAUAGUUGGGGGCAUUAGUAUUCAAUUGUCAGAGGUGAAAUUCUUGGAUUUAUUGAAGACUAACUACUGCGAAAGCAUUUGCCAAGGAUGUUUUCAUUAAUCAAGAACGAAAGUUAGGGGAUCGAAGACGAUCAGAUACCGUCGUAGUCUUAACCAUAAACUAUGCCGACUAGGGAU